AUCAUUUCCAUCUGGUGUUUUUUUUUUUCAUGAUCAUCCUUGUUUCGCUUCUUCUAUACAUAAAUUAUUUGUUGGGGUCUCCAUAUAUUCUCAUAUGAAAGAGAAGCAUCCUUGUUUCGCUUCUUCUAUACAUAAAUUAUUUGUUGGGGUCUCCACAUAUUCUCAUAUGAAAGAGAAGCUUUAGUUGUGACCAAAUUUUGAUGCAGGAGGUUUACUUGUUUAGCAGUUUCAGUUUUAAGGUUCGAAUUUCUUAGAGGUAUCGAUAGAAUAGUUUAGAUCUGUGCAUGGUUUUGAUAAUCUGAUCUAGUUGAAUUUAAGAUGGAUAAAAAAUAUCUAUCAAUGAGAUUUAAUUUAUAUAGUUUUUGAGGCCGGGUAAACAAGUAAUUCUUCCAAACACAAUCAGAGCUUCACUUUCAGAUGAAAAUACGCAGACUCCAACAAAUAAUUAAUGUUGUUCAGAAGAAAAAGAAGUAAAGAAGAAGAAAAGUUCUGUUUUGAAUCUGUACUUUUCUUUUUGGGAAUCUGUACGCAGCUAGAGUCCUUGCCUUUUGCCGGGAUGACAGAUUGGUCUUUAUGUUAUGUGUUUUCUAUCAAAGUUGUUCAAUGCUUGCCGUGGUUCCUACAAGUUUUGUGCAGAGAUGGUUAUAGUUUUUGCAAUACUAUUUUGACUUUCCUCCAUUCUAGCUGCUACACCUGCCACAGAAGAAGAUGGUCUCAAAUUAUAGAUUUUUCACUUGUCAUUGUGCAGACAAAGAACCAGUGGUCAUAGCUUGCAGUGGACUAUCUGGACUUUUUCUUUCACACAACUGGUCAUAUUUUGCGGUGGACUAUCUGCACUUUUUCUUCACCGGACUCUUCCUGCAUAUCUGCAUAUGACAAACUAUGCAUGUGUGAGACUCAGAUAUCACAAGAGCCAUACUAGCCCUCAGCAACUCCUUUGCAUCAAGUCUUUUCGUGCCUUAUUAUUUGGAGAAUGCUAUCAAAACUUAGCACACUGCUCUUUUUCUAAACGAGAAAAAUACAGAUUCUGAUGUUCUUAAAAGCUGUAUAUUUUUGAGCUCAUCCUUUUCUUCUAUAAACCUCUAUGACACCCUCAAACUAUGCUCUAGCUCUACUUAUCUUAAACACGUUUGUAAUAGGAGAAUGAGUGUGGAAUGCUAUCCACUACGAAUUCAUGGGAGUUUUGUUCAUGAUCUAGAUGAUUCUAGUGCUACCUUUAUCUUUUUUUUCAUGUUUAAAAUCCGUAGAGCCAAAACAUAUGUAGAGUCAAGUACCGUGACUAUACUAAUGUUGGUGCACGUUAAAUUUUAGGUAGAUAACUCUCAAUAAGUAACACAGGAGAAUACAAUAGCAAGAGACACAGUAAAUAUAAUCUGCACAUUAUGUAGUUUGCAAGAAAUUGGAGUACAUAAAAAUACAAUAACAUUACAAAACACGUGUGGGGAAACUAUCUACUCAUCUCAUGCUGUGGUGUAUCAGUGUUCAGGCUAGAUGGAAGUGGCUCAUUACAUGCUCAUUACAUGUUCAAUCACUGCAUGUAACCAGGUAAGCAGACACCUAUUAGUAAGUAAGUAGACACCUAUAAAUAAGCAUUAGAAUAACUGCAGUAUUAUGUUAAUGAGUAAUAUAGGAGAAUACAACAGCAGGAGACAUAGUAAAUAGAAAUGUGCAUACAACUACUUUCAGGAAUACAUUACAGUUAGAGCAAAUUUUAAAAUGAAUCGCUAGACAAAAAUUGAAUAAACAAUUACAUUGAUAAUAUUCAUGAGCCUUACAAAAUAUUGUAUAUUUGUAAUCUAUUUAGGUUAAGAAGUAUGUGAUAAAUAUUGAUGUGGGUACAAGAUGCGGUAUAGGAAACAGUGUCAUACAAUUUCGAAAUGGCAUACAAUUGAAGGUCUUCAUGAGCAAGCUAUACAGCUGGAGAUCUUCAUGAUCAAACAGAUGGUGUGUUUCAUGAGCAGGCAACUACUGAAUCAACAGAACGGAGGCUCUGCUACUGUUUCUUGAUCAAUUACUUAAUCUCCUGCAAUUGUUGCUGUGAACAAUUCCUUUGACGUUUGUAUCUGUAGUCGACAGUUGAAAAUGAUGAGUACGGUUGAAAUUUAAAAGUACAAAAAGCUGUUCUAUAUUGUAACUCUUUCAUUGGUAAUCUUAAGCAUUUUGCUCUGUUAUACUAAUAUACAGUGACUCUUAUUACCUUGUUAUAAAUAAUUGAUUCUGGGCUAUGAAAGUUACUUGGCUCAAAAUUGAAUAGAGCUCUGAUAUUAAUUGUCA